rnacentral:rRNA from 1 species
GACGAACCGUGCGAACGUUGUUCGGAUUCACUGGGCUUAAAGGGCGCGUAGGCGGGCCGGCAAGUCCGGGGUGAAAUCCCACGGCUCAACCGUGGAAUAGCCUUGGAUACUGCCGGUCUCGAGGGAGGUAGGGGCGUGUGGAACUUCCGGUGGAGCGGUGAAAUGCGUAGAUAUCGGAAGGAACGCCGGUGGCGAAAGCGACGCGCUGGACCUCUUCUGACGCUGAGGCGCGAAAAGCCAGGGGAGGCAAAACGGG